rnacentral:rRNA from 1 species
UCGGGAAUUUUGGGCAAUGGGCGAAAGCCUGACCCAGCAACGCCGCGUGAGUGACGAAGGCCUUAGGGUUGUAAAACUCUUUCGUCGGGGACGAUAAUGACGGUACCCGAAGAAGAAGCUCCGGCUAACUUCGUGCCAGCAGCCGCGGUAAUACGAAGGGAGCUAGCGUUGUUCGGAAUCACUGGGCGUAAAGCGCACGUAGGCGGAUAGUUAAGUCAGGGGUGAAAUCCUGGGGCUCAACCCCAGAACUGCCUUUGAUACUGGCUGUCUCGAGGUCGAGAGAGGUUGGUGGAAUUCCUAGUGUAGAGGUGAAAUUCGUAGAUAUUAGGAAGAACACCAGUGGCGAAGGCGGCCAACUGGCUCGAUACUGACGCUGAGGUGCGAAAGCGUGGGGAGCAAACAGGAUUAGAUACCCUCGUAGUCCCUGAGCGGGCUGGCAAGGCGCAU